rnacentral:tRNA from 1 species
GGGGGUGUAGCUCAACGGUAGAGCAUUCGGCUGUCGACCGAAAGGCUUGCGGGUUCGAGCCCCGUCACCCUCGCCA